GCCGGCGUAGCUCAACUGGCAGAGCACGCCCCUCGUAAGGGUGAGGUUGCGGGUUCAACUCCCGCCGCUGGCU
rnacentral:tRNA from 1 species